rnacentral:rRNA from 1 species
UACGGGGGGAGCAAGCGUUGUUCGGAUUUACUGGGCGUAAAGGGCGCGUAGGCGGCCAGCGCAAGUCAGUUGUGAAAUCUCCGGGCUUAACUCGGAACGGUCAACUGAUACUGCGCGGCUAGAGUGCAGAAGGGGCAACUGGAAUUCUCGGUGUAGCGGUGAAAUGCGUAGAUAUCGAGAGGAACACCUGCGGCGAAGGCGGGUUGCUGGGGCU